AUUGAACGCUGGCGGCAGGCCUAACACAUGCAAGUCGAGCGGUAGCACAGAGAGCUUGCUCUCGGGUGACGAGCGGCGGACGGGUGAGUAAUGUCUGGGAAACUGCCUGAUGGAGGGGGAUAACUACUGGAAACGGUAGCUAAUACCGAAUAAUGUCGCAAGACCAAAGUGGGGGACCUUCGGGCCUCAUGCCAUCAGAUGUGCCCAGAUGGGAUUAGCUAGUAGGUGGGGUAACGGCUCACCUAGGCGACGAUCCCUAGCUGGUAUGAGAGGAUGACCAGCCACACUGGAACUGAGACACGGUCCAGACUCCUACGGGAGGCAGCAGUGGGGAAUAUUGCACAAUGGGCGCAAGCCUGAUGCAGCCAUGCCGCGUGUGUGAAGAAGGCCUUCGGGUUGUAAAGCACUUUCAGCGGGGAGGAAGGCGUUAAGGUUAAUAACCUUGUCGAUUGACGUUACCCGCAGAAGAAGCACCGGCUAACUCCGUGCCAGCCGCCGCGGUAA
rnacentral:rRNA from 1 species